rnacentral:rRNA from 1 species
UACGUAGGGUGCAAGCGUUGUCCGGAAUUAUUGGGCGUAAAGAGCGUGUAGGCGGCCCGAUUAGUCCGCUGUGAAAGUCCAGGGCUCAACCCUGGAAUGCCGGUGGAUACUGUCGGGCUAGAGUCCGGAAGGGGCGAGUGGAAUUCCUGGUGUAGCGGUGAAAUGCGUAGAUAUCGUAAGGAAGACCAGUGGCGAAGGCGGGUCUCUGGACAGUUCCUGACGCUGAGGCACGAAGGCCAGGGGAGCAAACGGG